GAUGAACGCUGGCGGCGUGCCUAAUACAUGCAAGUCGAGUGAACAGACGAGGAGCUUGCUCCUCUGACGUUAGCGGCGGACGGGUGAGUAACACGUGGAUAACCUACCUAUAAGACUGGGAUAACUUCGGGAAACCGGAGCUAAUACCGGAUAAUAUAUUGAACCGCAUGGUUCAAUAUUGAAAGACGGUUUUGCUGUCACUUAUAGAUGGAUCCGCGCCGCAUUAGCUAGUUGGUAAGGUAACGGCUUACCAAGGCAACGAUGCGUAGCCGACCUGAGAGGGUGAUCGGCCACACUGGAACUGAGACACGGUCCAGACUCCUACGGGAGGCAGCAGUAGGGAAUCUUCCGCAAUGGGCGAAAGCCUGACGGAGCAACGCCGCGUGAGUGAUGAAGGUCUUCGGAUCGUAAAACUCUGUUAUUAGGGAAGAACAAAUGUGUAAGUAACUAUGCACGUCUUGACGGUACCUAAUCAGAAAGCCACGGCUAACUACGUG
rnacentral:rRNA from 1 species